GGAAGGCAUAGAAAACAAGAUGAUUUGGGGCUGCCAAAAGAGGCUGGCUCUGCUGCAGCUGGCAGUUUGGGCCACUCGCAGUAUAUCUAACAGGAAAACAUUACUUGAUUAUGGCUGGAGGGGGUGAAUCUAACCACACGAGGCAGAGGUUGUGGCCUUGCUCUGAGAAGUUGGCUGAUACUAAUGGAAAGGCAUAGAGUGGAGGAGGAACAAUAUUGUUCAGUCCAGGUGGUGCUGAAAGUUAGAAUUUCCAGGACAUAGAUGCUGUGUGGAAGGGCUAUCUGAGUUACGGUUUAGCUUUGCAGCUAGCAGUCUGAGGAAGCCUACCAUAAUUCCCAGAAGUUCAACUUUGAACUACUUUUUGUAGAAUAGAGUCCUGAGGUGUUCAAAGAAUCAGAUGUCUGAGAGAUACUACGCAAAAAGAUAAAAUGAUAAUAUAACUAAAGCAUGACCAAUAUCUGCUUAUUUUCAGGCCACAAAGAUAUUUGAUUGGACUAAUGUCUUGUUUUUAUCACUGUCAUUAGCACUACUUUUCAUGGAGAUGUUCUGCGCAGGCAGCAACUUGCAAAUGGCUGUUGUCUUUCUGUGGAGCUAUGCUGCCAUUUCCCUGUGGUAUGGUGUAAUUCAGCAUGUUUUAUCCACGGUGCCCUACAUCCUUGGUGAUGGGAAGGGAACUGCCUUUUUGGAGAAUCGAGGAACACUGGCUGCUGUCUGACAACUGAAGAGGCAUAAGGGAGAGAAAUACAAAGAAUCUUGU
rnacentral:lncRNA from 1 species